AGAGUUUGAUCCUGGCUCAGGAUGAACGCUAGCGGCGGGCCUAAUACAUGCAAGUCGAACGGUGCAGCAAUGCAUAGUGGCAGACGGGUGCGUAACGCGUAUGCAACCUACCUUUUAUCGGGGGACAACAUUUCGAAAGAAGUGCUAAUACCGCGUAAGAUAGUAGUGGGACAUCCCACAGCUAUUAAACUUUCGGGGAUAGAAGAUGGGCAUGCGUCUGAUUAGCUAGUUGGCGGGGUAACGGCCCACCAAGGCGACGAUCAGUAGGGGAACUGAGAGGUUGAUCCCCCACACUGGCACUGAGAUACGGGCCAGACUCCUACGGGAGGCAGCAGUAGGGAAUAUUGGGCAAUGGACGGAAGUCUGACCCAGCCACGCCGCGUGCAGGAGGAAGGCGCUCUGCGUUGUAAACUGCUUUAGCAGGGGAAGAAAAGACUCAUGCGUGAGGAAUUGACGGUACCCUGAGAAUAAGCACCGGCUAACUACGUGCCAGCAGCCGCGGUAAUACGUAGGGUGCAAGCGUUGUCCGGAUUUAUUGGGUUUAAAGGGUGCGUAAGCGGUCUAUUAAGUCAGUGUUUAAAUUUUGCAGCUUAACUGUAGGUAUGGCAUUGAUACUGGUGGACUUGAAUAUCAUGGAGGUAGCUAGAAUUUAUGGUGUAGCGGUGAAAUGCAUAGAUACCAUAAGGAACACCGAUAGCGGAGGCAGGUUGCCACGUGAUGAUUGACGCUGAGGCACGAAAGUGUGGGGAGCAAACAGGAUUAGAUACCCUGGUAGUCCACACUGUAAACGAUGAAUGCUAGGUGUAGGGGGUAUCGACCCCUUCUGUGCCGGAGUCAACACAAUAAGCAUUCCGCCUGGGGAGUACGGCCGCAAGGUUGAAACUCAAAGGAAUUGACGGGGGCCCGCACAAGCAGCGGAGCAUGUGGUUUAAUUCGAAGCAACGCGAAGAACCUUACCAGGUCUUGACAUCCAGUAAAACUUGUAGAGAUAUAAGGUGCCUUCGGGCAUACUGAGACAGGUGGUGCAUGGUUGUCGUCAGCUCGUGUCGUGAGAUGUUGGGUUAAGUCCCGCAACGAGCGCAACCCUUGUGAUCAGUUACUAACGGGUAAAGCCGAGGACUCUGAUAAGACUGCCGGGGACAACUCGGAGGAAGGUGGGGACGACGUCAAAUCAUCAUGCCCCUUAUGACCUGGGCUACACACGUGCUACAAUGGCCACUACAGAGAGCCGCGAGACCGUAAGGUGGAGCCAAUCUCAAAAAAGUGGUCCCAGUUCGGAUUGUGGGCUGCAACCCGCCCACAUGAAGUCGGAGUUGCUAGUAAUCGCGGAUCAGCAUGCCGCGGUGAAUACGUUCCCGGGCCUUGUACACACCGCCCGUCACACCAUGGGAGUUGAUAGCACCCGAAGUCGGUGAGGCAACCUAACGGAGCCAGCCGCCGAAGGUGAGAUCAAUGACUGGGGUGAAGUCGUAACAAGGUAACC
rnacentral:rRNA from 1 species